rnacentral:rRNA from 1 species
AACGACUCUCGGCAACGGAUAUCUCGGCUCUCGCAUCGAUGAAGAACGUGCGAAAUGCGAUACUUGGUGUGAAUUGCAGAAUCCCGUGAACCAUCGAGUCUUUGAACGCAAGUUGCGCCCUACGCCGUCAGGCCGAGGGACGCCUGCCUGGGCGUCACGC